rnacentral:rRNA from 1 species
GACGAACGCUGGCGGCGUGCUUAACACAUGCAAGUCGAACGGGCUGCCUGGUUUUCGGAUCGGGUGGUGAGUGGCGAACGGGUGAGUAACACGUGAGUAACCUGCCCCUCUCUUUGGGAUAACGUCGGGAAAUCGGCGCUAAUACCGGGUAUUCUGGCUUCCUCGCAUGGGGUUGUUGGGAAAGGUUUUUUCUGGUGGGGGAUGGGCUCGCGGCCUAUCAGCUUGUUGGUGGGGUGAUGGCCUACCAAGGCGGUGACGGGUAGCCGGCCUGAGAGGGUGUCCGGCCACACUGGGACUGAGACACGGCCCAGACUCCUACGGGAGGCAGCUGUGGGGAAUAUUGCACAAUGGGCGGAAGCCUGAUGCAGCGACGCCGCGUGGGGGAUGACGGCCUUCGGGUUGUAAACCUCUUUCAGUGCAGAACAAGGCUCUUUGUGGGUUGAGGGUAUGCGCAGAAGAAGCGCCGGCUAACUACGUG